UACGAAGGGGGCUAGCGUUGCUCGGAAUCACUGGGCGUAAAGAGCUCGUAGGCGGUCUGUCGCGUCGGAUGUGAAAGCCCGGGGCUUAACCCCGGGUCUGCAUUCGAUACGGGCAGACUAGAGUGUGGUAGGGGAGAUCGGAAUUCCUGGUGUAGCGGUGAAAUGCGCAGAUAUCAGGAGGAACACCGGUGGCGAAGGCGGAUCUCUGGGCCAUUACUGACGCUGAGGAGCGAAAGCGUGGGGAGCGAACAGG
rnacentral:rRNA from 1 species